rnacentral:rRNA from 1 species
GAAAGGCUUCGGCCGGACAGGGAUGGGCAUGCGGCGCAUUAGGCAGUAGGCGGGGUAACGGCCCACCUAACCGACGAUGCGUAGGGGUUCUGAGAGGAAGGUCCCCCACACUGGUACUGAGACACGGACCAGACUCCUACGGGAGGCAGCAGUGAGGAAUAUUGGUCAAUGGUCGGGAGACUGAACCAGCCAAGCCGCGUGAGGGAUGAAGGUACAGAGUAUCGUAAACCUCUUUUGUCAGGGAACAAAGGCGGGGACGUGUCCCCGGAUGAGCGUACCUGAAGAAAAAGCAUCGGCUAACUCCGUGCCAGCAGCCGCGGUAAUACGGAGGAUGCGAGCGUUAUCCGGAUUUAUUGGGUUUAAAGGGUGCGCAGGCGGUCUGUUAAGUCAGCGGUCAAAGCCCGGGGCUCAACCCCGGCCCGCCGUUGAAACUGGCAGUCUCGAGUUGGAGAGAAGUAUGCGGAAUGCGCGGUGUAGCGGUGAAAUGCAUAGAUAUCGCGCAGAACUCCGAUUGCGAAGGCAGCAUGCCGGCUCCACACUGACGCUGAGGCACGAAAGCGUGGGUAUCGAACAGGAUUAGAUACCCUGGUAGUCCACGCAGUAAACGAUGAAUGCUGGCUGUCCGGGGGGGAUU